GACGAACGCUGGCGGCGUGCUUAACACAUGCAAGUCGAGCGGAAAGGCCACUUCGGUGGUACUCGAGCGGCGAACGGGUGAGUAACACGUGAGUAAUCUGCCCCUGGCUUUGGGAUAGCCACCGGAAACGGUGAUUAAUACCGGAUAUGACCACGUCUCGCAUGGGGUGUGGUGGAAAGUUUUUCGGCCAGGGAUGUGCUCGCGGCCUAUCAGCUUGAUGGUGAGGUAAUGGCUCACCAUGGCUUCGACGGGUAGCCGGCCUGAGAGGGUGACCGGUCACACUGGGACUGAGACACGGCCCAGACUCCUACGGGAGGCAGCAGUGGGGAAUAUUGGACAAUGGGCGGAAGCCUGAUCCAGCAACGCCGCGUGAGGGAUGACGGCCUUCGGGUUGUAAACCUCUUUCAGUACCGACGAAGCGCAAGUGACGGUAGGUACAGAAGAAGCACCGGCCAACUACGUGCCAGCCGCCGCUGUAACAC
rnacentral:rRNA from 1 species